rnacentral:lncRNA from 1 species
UCUUGUCUGCCAUGGGUCGGAUGGAGAUGGGGUUCUUGUGCGCUUUGACGGGCCUGAGGAGUCGUGGGGCAUGGAAGCGUUUUGUUUUUUUAACUUUCCAUACUGCGGGGCAAUUCUUCCGCCCGUAUUCUCCAUACUGCGGGGCAAUGAGCAAUUCUUCCGCCCGUAUCUUAUCUGUAGCAGUCUUAAGAAAAGUUCUUCUAUCAUACAUUUCCAUCGCCGGCACAGCGUAUUUAAUAAUACAUUAAUGCGUAAACUACUUGUUUUGAUUCAAGAUAAUUGACAAAACAGCACUAUUCACAAGUAACCAUUUAUUUUGCAAAACGUUUUCGGACCCAAACCUGGUCCCUCAUCAGUGCAUACAGUGAAGAACGGAAUUCUCUUAAGAAUACAGAAUAAAAGAACAUAAACAUCUGUUAAAAGAUGAGGAACUGAUGAGGGACCAGGUUUGGGUCCGAAA